rnacentral:rRNA from 1 species
AUUGAACGCUGGCGGCAUGCCUUACACAUGCAAGUCGAACGGCAGCACGGGUGCUUGCACCUGGUGGCGAGUGGCGAACGGGUGAGUAAUACAUCGGAACGUACCUUAUCGUGGGGGGUAACGCAGCGAAAGCUGUGCUAAUACCGCAUACGCCCUGAGGGGGAAAGCGGGGGAUCGCAAGAACUCGCGCGAUUAGAGCGGCCGAUGCCUGAUUAGCUAGUUGGUGGGGUAAAAGCCCACCAAGGCGACGAUCAGUAGCUGGUCUGAGAGGACGAUCAGCCACACUGGGACUGAGACACGGCCCAGACUCCUACGGGAGGCAGCAGUGGGGAAUUUUGGACAAUGGGGGCAACCCUGAUCCAGCAAUGCCGCGUGAGUGAAGAAGGCCUUCGGGUUGUAAAGCUCUUUUGUCAGGGAAGAAACACCGGCUCUAACACAGUCCGGGAAUGACGGUACCUGAAGAAUAAGCACCGGCUAACUACGUGCCAGCAGCCGCCGCCG